rnacentral:rRNA from 1 species
GAUGAACGCUAGUGGGAGGCCUAACACAUGCAAGCCGAGCGGUAGAGAUCUUUCGGGAUCUUGAGAGCGGCGUACGGGUGCGGAACACGUGUGCAACCUGCCUUUAUCAGGGGGAUAGCCUUUCGAAAGGAAGAUUAAUACCCCAUAAUAUAUUGAAUGGCAUCAUUUGAUAUUGAAAACUCCGGUGGAUAGAGAUGGGCACGCGCAAGAUUAGAUAGUUGGUAGGGUAACGGCCUACCAAGUCAGUGAUCUUUAGGGGGCCUGAGAGGGUGAUCCCCCACACUGGUACUGAGACACGGACCAGACUCCUACGAGAGGCAGCAGUGAGGAAUAUUGGACAAUGGGUGAGAGCCUGAUCCAGCCAUCCCGCGUGAAGGACGACGGCCCUAUGGGUUGUAAACUUCUUUUGUAUAGGGAUAAACCUUUCCACGUGUGGAAAGCUGAAGGUACUAUACGAAUAAGCACCGGCUAACUCCGUGCCAGCAGCCGCGGUAAUACGGAGGGUGCAAGCGUUAUCCGGAUUUAUUGGGUUUAAAGGGUCCGUAGGCGGAUCUGUAAGUCAGUGGUGAAAUCUCAUAGCUUAACUAUGAAACUGCCAUUGAUACUGCAGGUCUUGAGUAAAGUAGAAGUGGCUGGAAUAAGUAGUGUAGCGGUGAAAUGCAUAGAUAUUACUUAGAACACCAAUUGCGAAGGCAGGUCACUAUGUUUUAACUGACGCUGAUGGACGAAAGCGUGGGGAGCGAACAGGAUUAGAUACCCUGGUAGUCCACGCCGUAAACGAUGCUAACUCGUUUUUGGGUUUUCGGAUUCAGAGACUAAGCGAAAGUGAUAAGUUAGCCACCUGGGGAGUACGUUCGCAAGAAUGAAACUCAAAGGAAUUGACGGGGGCCCGCACAAGCGGUGGAUUAUGUGGUUUAAUUCGAUGAUACGCGAGGAACCUUACCAAGGCUUAAAUGGGAAUUGACAGGUUUAGAAAUAGACUUUUCUUCGGACAAUUUUCAAGGUGCUGCAUGGUUGUCGUCAGCUCGUGCCGUGAGGUGUUAGGUUAAGUCCUGCAACGAGCGCAACCCCUGUCACUAGUUGCCAUCAUUCAGUUGGGGACUCUAGUGAGACUGCCUACGCAAGUAGAGAGGAAGGUGGGGAUGACGUCAAAUCAUCACGGCCCUUACGCCUUGGGCCACACACGUAAUACAAUGGCCGGUACAGAGGGCAGCUACCUAGCGAUAGGAUGCGAAUCUCGAAAGCCGGUCUCAGUUCGGAUUGGAGUCUGCAACUCGACUCUAUGAAGCUGGAAUCGCUAGUAAUCGCAUAUCAGCCAUGAUGCGGUGAAUACGUUCCCGGGCCU